AGCGAACGCUGGCGGCAGGCUUAACACAUGCAAGUCGAGCGGGCCCUUCGGGGUCAGCGGCGGACGGGUGAGUAACGCGUGGGAACGUGCCUUCUGGUCUGGAAUAACCCUGGGAAACUAGGGCUAAUACCGGAUACGCCCUUUUGGGGAAAGGUUUACUGCCGGAAGAUCGGCCCGCGUCUGAUUAGCUAGUUGGUGGGGUAACGGCCUACCAAGGCGACGAUCAGUAGCUGGUCUGAGAGGAUGAUCAGCCACACUGGGACUGAGACACGGCCCAGACUCCUACGGGAGGCAGCAGUGGGGAAUAUUGGACAAUGGGCGCAAGCCUGAUCCAGCCAUGCCGCGUGAGUGAUGAAGGCCCUAGGGUUGUAAAGCUCUUUUAUCCGGGACGAUAAUGACGGUACCGGAGGAAUAAGCCCCGGCUAACUUCGUG
rnacentral:rRNA from 1 species